AACGAACGCUGGCGGCAGGCUUAACACAUGCAAGUCGAACGCCACGCAAGGGGAGUGGCAGACGGGUGAGUAACGCGUGGGAAUCUACCUAGUUCUACGGAACAACUGAGGGAAACUUCAGCUAAUACCGUAUACGCCCUAAGGGGGAAAGAUUUAUCGGAAUUAGAUGAGCCCGCGUUGGAUUAGCUAGUUGGUGGGGUAAUGGCCUACCAAGGCGACGAUCUAUAGCUGGUCUGAGAGGAUGAUCAGCCACACUGGGACUGAGACACGGCCCAGACUCCUACGGGAGGCAGCAGUGGGGAAUAUUGGACAAUGGGCGCAAGCCUGAUCCAGCCAUGCCGCGUGAGUGAUGAAAGUCUUAGGAUUGUAAAAUUCUUUCACCGGGGACGAUAAUGACGGUACCCGGAGAAGAAGCCCCGGCUAACUUCGUGCCAGCCGCCGCAGUAAAAC
rnacentral:rRNA from 1 species